rnacentral:rRNA from 1 species
GACGAACGCUGGCGGCGUGCUUAACACAUGCAAGUCGAACGGAAAGGCCCUGCUUUUGUGGGGUGCUCGAGUGGCGAACGGGUGAGUAACACGUGAGUAACCUGCCCUUGACUUUGGGAUAACUUCAGGAAACUGGGGCUAAUACCGGAUAGGAGCUCCUGCUGCAUGGGGGGGGUUGGAAAGUUUCGGCGGUUGGGGAUGGACUCGCGGCUUAUCAGCUUGUUGGUGGGGUAGUGGCUUACCAAGGCUUUGACGGGUAGCCGGCCUGAGAGGGUGACCGGCGACAUUGGGACUGAGAUAGGGCCCAGACUCGUACGGGAGGCAGCAGUGGGGAAUAUUGCAGAAUGGGCGGAAGCCUGAUGCAGCAACGCCGCGUGCGGGAUGACGGCCUUCGGGUUGUAAACCGCUUUCGCCUGUGACGAAGCGUGAGUGACGGUAAUGGGUAAAGAAGCACCGGCUAACUACGUG